rnacentral:rRNA from 1 species
UGAAUCCCGGUGCAUAAGGGUGUGUAAGACGGGGGGUGGAAGCGUUACUCGGAAGCACUAGGCGUAAAGAGAAUGUAGGCUGGGUUGUAAGUUGGCAGUGAAAUCCUAUGGCUUAAACAUAGAACUGCUUCCAAAACUAAUUACCUAGAAUAUGGGAGAGGUAGAUGGAAUUUAUGGUGUAGGGGUAAAAUCCGUAGAGAUCAGAAGGAAUACCGAUUGCGAAGGCGAUCUACUGGAACAUUAUUGACGCUCAGAUGCGAAAGCGUGGGGAGCAAACAGGAUUAGAUACCCGAGUAGUU